CCUACGUGAGGCAGCAGUGAGGAAUAUUGGUCAAUGGGCGCGAGCCUGAACCAGCCACGUCGCGUGAAGGAUGACUGCCCUACGGGUUGUAAACUCCUUUUAUAAAGGAAUAAAGUGAGGCACGUGUGCAUUUUUGUCUGUACUUUCUGAAUAAGGAUCGGCUAACUCCGUGCCAGCCGCCGCGGUAAUACGGAGGAUCCGAGCGUUAUCCGGAUUUAUUGGGUUUCAAGGGAGCGUAGAUGGGUUGUUAAGUCCGGUGUGAAAGUUUGCGGCUCAACCGUAAAAUUGCAAUUGAUACUGGCAGCCUGGAGUACAGGAGAGGUAGGCGGAAUUCGUGGUGUAGCGGUGAAAUGCUUAGAUAUCACGAAGAACUCCGAUUGCGAAGGCAGCCUACUAAACUGCCACUGACAUUGAUGCUCGAAAGUGUGGGGAUCAAACAGGAUUAGAUACCCUUGUAGUC
rnacentral:rRNA from 1 species